CGGAUAUUGCUAAAUUGCUAAGGAAAGGUGUGUAUUCUACAUACAAAAACAAUGAGGUUCUGACCAUAGAGAUGAUUAAUGACACCUUAUCGGCAAGGAACAAACAUUUCUUAGUCUCAACCUUGCGGAGAUACCUGAUAAAACUUGGAUUUAAGCUUAAGAUGGUUAACAAAAGAGCUGCUGUAAUGGAAUUGUCAGGUGGUGUAUAGAAUAUUUGAAGAAAAUUAAAAAAUUUUGGGAGGAAGAAAGAUCCAUAUAUUAUUUAGCCGAAACAUGGUAUGAUACGAUUAUGAUUGAUAUAUGAUUUCCAUUCUCUGGGAAAAAGUCGUUUUUGCCAUACUUACUGCCCCUGUUUGUCCUUCAGUGAUACAAUAAAGACUGCUUCUUCCACCAUUCUCUGGGAAAAACCCUUUUUUGCUAUGCUUACUGCCCCUGUUGUCCUUCAGCGAGACAAUAAAGACUACUUCUUCCUCCAUUCUCUGGAGAAAAGUCCCUUUUUUUGCC